CUCGUUCACAUGUACCAGAAGAAAAAAUUCGCACUUAAAAAUAAACUCGCAGAAAAAAUUGCAAGUAUAACAUGUACACAUGCAGUUAUAGGACUUUUUACGCGCGGAUAUUCAUUUCUUGUUCUACCCCCUGUCACAAAACGCUUGACGUUAUUGAAAACCAAUUACAAAAAGCUGGCGAGAUAUUAGUUCUUUCACGGGUCACGACACUCGACAUUUUGUCCACGACAGUCGACAUUAAUUUAUCAACGACACUCGACAUUUUAUCUGCGACACUCGACAUUUUAUCAACGGCAAAUCAAUCUGUUCAUUCCGGCUAAAAUUUUUGUCUUCCUCAACACAAAGACAUGCAGAUACUAUAUACCAAGGGAGAGUAGUAAUGAACUUUUUAUAAUUAAGCAAUUAACAGUUUCAAGCAACAACCGCUGUUGGCUACUUUGUCUUUGUACAUUUCUCUGCAAUCGACUGCACUCGUAAAUAGAACAUUGUAUCACAUCAAAUCUUACUACCACAACAUCCAAAUUUUUGCCAUCUUAUAUAGUUCUUCCCCAAGAAACUCAGAGUUUAAGGCCGUCUGGUAUAUGCAUAAUUGCCUAUACGUAUAUGGUCUUUGCCGCUUUAGAUUUAUUUAUCAGCUUUCAUGAG